rnacentral:lncRNA from 1 species
AUGGAUGCCGCUGAAGCUCAGGAAUUGAGGGAUCUGGUGAAACGACUACAAACGGACAAUGAACUUUUACGACAGGAGCGAGCAGCUGCUCAGGAGGACCCUGGUGAGGGUUCUUCCUCUCGGAACUCUGCUGGUAACCCUACUCGACGCACCUCUGGCCAUGGACACUCUACUACCGGUGAACGUAUUCUUUACAUUCCUCGGGAGCGUAAAUGCCCCACUUUUAGAGGGAGUACGGGCAUUGGAAUUAAUGACUGGGUCGAGGAGGUACGGGCUAGUAUGCGGGCUAGGUACCUUUCGCCACUUGACCAGGCUUAUUUUAUUUAUGAUCAUAUUGAGGGAGAAGCAAAGGAAGAAAUUAGGUACAGGCCUGAAGCCGAGCGGGAAAAUCCUGAAACUAUUCUGAGAAUUUUGCAGGAACUGUAUGGGUGUUCAAAAUCAUACGUUGCGCUUCAAGAGAAUUUCUUUUCUAGAAAACAGCUGGAAGGCGAAACACUUCAAGAGUAUUCACAUGCUCUAUUUUGUUUAAUGGAAAAGGUUACCAAAAGUGCUCCAGGUGUGUUUCAGGAUUCAGCUGUUCUGUUAAGAGACCAAUUUGUUGAGCAUGUACUUGACCCAUCUUUACGUAGGGAAUUAAAGAGGCUUGUUCGGUUACACCCUGGUUACACUCUUUUAGAUGUGAGACGUGAAGCAAUUAGGUGGGAGCAAGAGGGCCAACCUUCAGACCCAAGGGGGCGCAGUCUGUCCGUACCAUCAUUUUGUGCCGUUCAGUGCUCUCAGGCGAGGGGGACUGGGAGUGUCCCAGUUACAUCUCAGGGUGACCUAGCUGAGCUUAAAGAAUUGUUGUUUAAACAACAGGAGCAGAUAAACCUGCUAACCCAAAAUAUGUUGCAGUUACAAAGUAACAGACCCCCUAGUUUUAAUCGAGGUGGCCCACUUAUUUGUAGACAAUGUCAACGGCCCGGUCACAUUGCCCGAAACUGUCGCCAGCCACAGCAUAGCCAGAGCACGGGGCCCCCCUGUCCUCAACAGGGGCAGGCCACAUCAGCUAGUCAGCAGACGGAAAACUAA